rnacentral:rRNA from 1 species
GAAACUGAGAAUAAUACCCCAUAGUAUUAAUUGUCUGCAUGGACGAUUAAUUAAAGAGAGAUCGGUAAUGGAUGAGUGUGCGUUCUAUUAGGUAGUUGGUAAGGUAAUGGCUUACCAAGCCGAUGAUAGGUAGGGGGCGUGAGAGCGUGGACCCCCACACGGGUACUGAGACACGGACCCGACUCCUACGGGAGGCAGCAGUAAGGAAUAUUGGACAAUGGGCGGAAGCCUGAUCCAGCCAUCCCGCGUGCAGGAUGAAUGCCCUAUGGGUUGUAAACUGCUUUUAGAUGGGAAGAAUAGUAUCUAUUUAUAGGUAUAUGACGGUACCAUCAGAAUAAGCACCGGCUAACUCCGUGCCAGCAGCCGCGGUAAUACGGAGGGUGCGAGCGUUAUCCGGAAUUACUGGGUUUAAAGGGUGCGUAGGCGGUUUGAUAAGUCAGGAGUGAAAGUUACCUGCUUAACGGGGAAAUUGCUUUUGAUACUGUCAAGCUUGAAUCGGGUUGAGGUUAGCGGAAUGUGACAUGUAGCGGUGAAAUGCAUAGAUAUGUCAUAGAACACCAAUUGCGAAGGCAGCUAGCUAGGCUCAGAUUGACGCUGA